rnacentral:tRNA from 1 species
GGGGAUCUAGCUCAGUGGCAGAGCACUUGCCUAGCAUGCACAAGGCCCUGAAAAAAAUUAAAAAGGGCUGGGGAUAUCACUCAGUGGCAAAAUGUCCCUGGGGUCAAUUCCCAGUACCCCCC